rnacentral:tRNA from 1 species
CGGUUAGCUCAGCUGGUAGAGCACCUGGCUUACAUCCAGGUGGUCGGGGGUUCGAGUCCCUCACCGC